AUUGAACGCUGGCGGUAUGCUUUACACAUGCAAGUCGAACGGCAGCGCGGGCUUCGGCCUGGCGGCGAGUGGCGAACGGGUGAGUAAUGCAUCGGAACGUGCCCAGUAGUGGGGGAUAGCCCGGCGAAAGCCGGAUUAAUACCGCAUACGACCUGAGGGUGAAAGCGGGGGACCGAAAGGCCUCGCGCUAUUGGAGCGGCCGAUGUCGGAUUAGCUAGUUGGUGGGGUAAAGGCUUACCAAGGCGACGAUCCGUAGCUGGUCUGAGAGGACGACCAGCCACACUGGGACUGAGACACGGCCCAGACUCCUACGGGAGGCAGCAGUGGGGAAUUUUGGACAAUGGGGGCAACCCUGAUCCAGCCAUGCCGCGUGCGGGAAGAAGGCCUUCGGGUUGUAAACCGCUUUUGUUCGGGAAGAAAUCCUCUGGGCUAAUACCCCGGGGGGAUGACGGUACCGGAAGAAUAAGCACCGGCUAACUACGUG
rnacentral:rRNA from 1 species